ACAAAAUUGGUGUCAAGAAGGUGAUAGGCAACAAAAAAGUAUCAAGCAAUUUGUACAUGCUAAUAUGCCUGUGAAUUUAAACAUACACACAAAUUGUCAUACAUUACAACUUCAAAAAGUAGUGUGGCGAAAUAGUAUUUGAUUAAAUUUUCUCUUUUUUAAUCAGUUUGCCAGAUCUUGUUGAUGAAGCCUGACAAUCAAGAUUGAGAGAUUCAACUGGUUGUUCCUUUGCAGCAGUCCUUUUGGCUGGAGUCUUUUGAGAAGAAGGAGAGAUAUCAUUCUCUGAUGAAGCUGAAACAUUUGGCUGUUGCAUACCAAUAUAACACAUAAGUUAUGUGUGACUAAAACAUAAGUAAAAAUUAUUAAUGGUGGAAUAUCAAGGUUAUGAGGAUGCAUACUGUUGAUAGAAUUCCAUCAUCU
rnacentral:lncRNA from 1 species